rnacentral:rRNA from 1 species
AAGGACAUGUGGACAGUAUGGGAGUGAGAAUGUUGGCAUGAGUAGCGAGAUGUGGGUGAGAAUCCCACAGGCCGUAAACCCAAGGUUUCCAGGGGAAGGUUCGUCCGCCCUGGGUUAGUCGGGACCUAAGCUGAGGCCGAAAGGCGUAGGUGAUGGACAACAGGUUGAUAUUCCUGUACUACCGAUAACCGGUUGAGAGAAGGGAUGACACAGUAGGAUAAGCUAAGCACACUGUUGGUUAUGUGUGCCCAAGCAUUGAGGCAGUCAAAGUAGGCAAAUCCGCUUUGAUAAUGCUGGGAUGUGAUGGGGAGCGAAAUUUAGUAGCGAAGUAGCUGAUUUCACACUGUCAAGAAAAGUCUCUAUCGAGGU